rnacentral:lncRNA from 7 species
AAGGCUGAGGGAAGUGUGCCUGUGGUCUCACUAGAAGCAUGGCUGGAGGGAGAAGAGUUUGUCUUCUAUGUUCAGAGCUUCUCACCAGAGCCUUUCCCCUCGGUGGCUGACCAGUAUGGGCUUAAAGAAGUGAUGCAACUGUCUUUCCAGAUAGAUGGAGAGUCAGGCUGCCAGAGAAAUAGCACUUCUGCACCAAUGGAAUAAAUAACUUUUAGAACAUAGGUAGCCUUGACUAAAGGAGGUACUGAAGAAGGAUUUUUCCUGUCCUGCUCCUUGACAUCCAUCUAGAUUUCUUCCUGUUUUUGGGGUGUAAGCCUACAGUUAUUGCACAGCUUGAUGAUCUCAAACGUUUUCCUGGACAAACUCCAGUGCGACCUCCAUGGAAACUCUUAUUGGAGCUGACGAGAUCUUCUGCUGGCUGGAAUGAUUGUAAGACUGAGCUGCAGCAAGUAACUUCUCUUUGGGGUGAAGCAGUUCCGUGCGAGGUGGUACUCCUGCAGCUGUGAGCAGCCUCGUUAGAUUUCCCAUGGCUGUCCUGACUCCUGGUGGCCGCUGAAGACACUUGUCAUGUGUAAGUGAUACUUUCCUAAGAGGACUGAGCGACUGAGCUUCCCCCCGGUAUUCAGCGAUGCUCUAUUGGUCGACACUGACUGUGUUAAAUGACUAGUAGAACUGUGGCCAUUGCCUGUUCUUUUGAUUUGCAGAAGUCUCCACUAAUUAGAAAGG